UACAGAGGGGGCAAGCGUUGUUCGGAAUUACUGGGCGUAAAGGGCGCGUAGGCGGCCUGUUAAGUCGAACGUGAAAUCCCCGGGCUCAACCCGGGAACUGCGUCCGAUACUGGCAGGCUUGAGUCCGGGAGAGGGAUGCGGAAUUCCAGGUGUAGCGGUGAAAUGCGUAGAUAUCUGGAGGAACACCGGUGGCGAAGGCGGCAUCCUGGACCGGUAUUGACGCUGAGGCGCGAAAGCGUGGGGAGCGAUCCGG
rnacentral:rRNA from 1 species